AUUGAACGCUGGCGGCAGGCCUAACACAUGCAAGUCGAGCGGAGCGGCGGACGGGUGAGUAAUGCCUAGGAAUCUGCCUGGUAGUGGGGGAUAACGUCCGGAAACGGGCGCUAAUACCGCAUACUAGCAGAUGAGCCUAGGUCGGAUUAGCUGGUUGGUGGGGUAAAGGCCUACCAAGGCGACGAUCGGUAACGGGUCUGAGAGGAUGAUCAGUCACACUGGAACUGAGCAACGGUCCAGACUCCUACGGGAGGAAGCAGUGGGGAAUAUUGGACAAGGGGCGAAAGCCUGAUCCAGCACGGCCGCGUGUUGGUAGAAGGUUUUCGGAUUGGAAAGCCCUUUAAGUUGGGAGGCGGUACCGACAGAGAAAGCACCGGCUAACUUCGUGCCAGCAGCCGCGGUAAUAC
rnacentral:rRNA from 1 species